rnacentral:misc_RNA from 1 species
AACAAUCUGAUACCAUCCACAAGUUCCAACUCUCCAGGAGCGUCCACUAGGUAGGCAUAGGUAAUGUGAUCUUGCAACUCUCCAUCCUUAACGAUGAAUUGACGUUGCCCAUCAUUGAGAUCUUUACCUGUAACUCGACGAGCUUUGACACACAGUGAUUUAAAUACUUCUGGAUCGGAACGAUCCCUGAACACCAUAAAGUGUCUCAGCUCAGAUGCCAAGUCAGCGUUGGAAAUCCUAAGCCUUAUGCGUUUACCACCCAAACUCACGAGUCCCAAAAGGGAACUAUCAGGUUGCACCUGCAAGCUA